GCAGGACUUUUCAGAACCUUUAAUGAGCUAAUAUUUGUUGUGAAUCCCUAAGAGGCAGAGAUCCUUUUGUCCAUACAUCCCUUCUGGAAGUAAUCACUUUAAGCAUGCUGUUAACUAAUCCUACAGGACAAGAGUUUGCCAAAUCUGGUUCAAAGAACCUGGGUCAGUUUUGAGUCACUUUUUACCUCUUCUACCACACCCUGAAAUGUUAACGUGCUUUUUUACCUUUGGCCUUUUUGAGCACAUGAUCUUUUCCCAAAUCUGCUCCCAGCUUAUAGCUUGGAAAGACUAAGAUUUGUCAUAGGAGAAUUGAAAAUGCAAAGAUCAAGACGGAAAAAACAUUCAGAAAGCAAGAUUUUGCAGCCAAACAUGAGCCUUGGAAAAUCAAGUUAUUAUCUUCAGAGAUAAUAUCCUUCCUUUGCUAUCUUUACUGAGCUAAACUAUAGAAUCCUACAUAGUCAGGACCUGAGAGGAAGAGGAAGGAAGAAUCCUGCCUGUUUUUGACACUGGAAGCAUUGUGAGAAAGGAGAGAAGGGCACUGAGAUGAAUAGACACGUCAAUUCUUUUUUACUUCUCCUAGCCCCUCUCUGUUUAUACAUGCCUUUCUCCGUUUGCAUGCUUUAAGACACCCCUUAAGGUCCUGGGGUGGAGCCAUAUCAAAAUAAACCACCGUUUACAGGCAGGCAGGGGAAUCCCUGAGGUUUAGCUUUUCUGAACCGUGCUGGAUUACUGUGCAGGAUAGACAAGAUGCAGAUGUAGCUAAGGAUCUGACAAAGAAGAGUCUCAGAGAGAGAUCACUGCCAUAAACAGAGCUAACUCUGGAACAAGAUCUGCAGAGUGGACUGCUCAUGGCACGAUCAAGUGGGUAGCACAGCCAGACCUCCAAGGAUUCCAAGGUCCAGCGAAAGCCAAGGAUAAGUCUGGAGUCAGCCAGUGUGUACCCAGUGAGAGAAGAUUUUUUAAAUGGACCAUUCGAGUUCAUUAGUCACAAGCAUGAGCACUGUAGGUCAACGAGGCAUUCAGCAAGCAGGAGAUCAGGAGACACUGCCCCACAGAUGAGGGCAAUGGACAGUGGGCACAAGGGAAGUAACUCUUUCCCUCCCACUGUCCCGUACACCUCGUCAUCUUGGAGAAGCAUAGGAAGAAGGGAGAGAGAGAUGAGUGAUGUUUCCCAGACAGAAGCAUCAUUACCCCAGGAGACUGUUUAAAUUAUAAACUCAAACUCCUUUUCUUCGAGACUGGCUUCAGUAGUUAUGUUUUAUUUUUGAAGCAAUGCGUAAAUGAGCCUUACUAGAAAAACCAGAUUCCCAACAAAACAAAGUACACAUUUCUCUGGACAUUCGAGUUACAACAGGUGGAUUUUUUUACCCCUCUUCCUCUAAUCCCAUCAGAGCUUCCUAAAUACGGCAUCAGUUUUAGGUCUAAGGUAUUGUCCUCUGUGUAACACACCGAAGUAAAUCCAACCAGCCAUCAAAGUUCAGCUCAAAGUCCAAAUUUAUCCCAAAGCCUUCUACUUUAAACCCGCUCAUCUUCCUUCUCAUGGUCCUCCUUGGACAAAGAUAGUUUUAACCUAGUUUUAACCAAGAUGACUGAACUGCUGAGAUGACAAAGAUCCCUUUAAAACACAAAAAACCUGGAGGAGUUUCCCCACAUAGCACAGUUUCCUUAGCUCCUGAGCCUCCCAGGGCCCUGACCAGCCCUGCUGCCAAGAGGAACAGUUCUGUCAUAAUCCUAGGCUAGACCAAUUUCGACACAAAAGCUUGGGACUCAGCCAGAACCAAUGACCUGGAAAAGGCAGUGAGUCAAACAUCCAAUAAACACGAUGUCUAUAGCACCUGUCUCUCCCCACAAUUACGGUAGGCAACCAUGACAUCUAUAACCUAAUACAAAACAUUCCUUGCCACCAGGCAAAGUAUUCCUCCCAGCUAACAAACAAAACCACUUUUAAAUGUUUAAUCAUUUUGCCUUGGUAAAUAUUCAUUUGUAAAAUUUGAAAUAAUAGAAUCCUAUAACCAGAAUAAAGAAUUUUUUGGACUUAGUGCUUCACAGUGGGAAAAAAAAAUACAUUCUUGAAAAACCUGAGUCAGUUGUAAUUAACUCCUACUUAUCUCAACAUGUUAUUAAUCCUUUAUUUUAUCGCCAGGUUCAUUUUUUUCUAUUGCCCUGCAAAAUCCAGGAGGAAAAAAAUAUGGGACCGUUCCCAAAAUCUAUUUUUGUCUUAUUUUUCUUCUCUCAUUUAUUUACAUGCAAAAACUUAAAAUCAGGUAGUUAAAAAUCAUCUUUCAAUUUUCCAUCAUUGAGAACAGAUAUACACUUAGCUCAAGUUGCAGUACCUAUUAUUCGCUCAAGGACCUUGGGUGAAAUCAACUUUCAGAGCCUCGAGGGUUUUCAGUAUUAUUUAUAAAAUAAGGAUGAUACAGCAAUACCUAACGCGGGAAGCUAUUAUAAUGGCAAAAUGAAAUGGUAUUUAAUCCACAUAGCUAAUUUAGCUAAGUCAUGAGUAAUGAAGCCCUCUAGAAGGUCCAGUAGGAAAGCAGAGGAAGGCAGGCUUCACUGAGCAGCAAAGGCACCAGAGAGAGGAUACCUGAUCUUUAAGAUACGUGACCCUGGACUGGGAGAGGAAGGAAAGGAGGAAAAUAAUCCCAUGAAGAAGAACGGGGAUGUGCAAAGGAAUAGGCUGAGUUCCAAGCACUACGAGAACUGGUUCUGAAGGGCUCUGGAUGGCACAUGAAGGCAAACAACUUUCCAUUCCAUGGCGCAUGGGUGAAAUCAGGCUCAUCCACUUACCUACCUUCCUCCCUACCACGUUCACCUUUCUUCUCUAGGUCAGGGUCUCCGCUCACUCGCUGCCCUGUCCACACUGAAACACCACGCUCAAAAUCCACCUUCUCCAGAAUGCCUCCUCGGACUCAACUACCUACAGUCACCUCUCCUUUUCCCGAUGUCCCGUCAAACACAGAAACUGCUGAAAGAUGAACUGCAUUUAGUUAUAUAGCCUCUUUUAUGAUGCUAAGUAUUUCUUUUAUACAACCCUUGUUCAAAUUAUGAAUUCCUGAAGGACAGUGACCGUACCAACAAAAACAAGAGUAAAAAUACCACCAAUUUUUAGGUAAUUGUAUUAUCGUUUAAAAAAGACAUAGCUUGGAGUUCCCGUGGUGGCGCAGUGGUUAACGAAUCCGACUAGGAACCAUGAGGUUGCGGGUUCGAUCCCUGCCCUUGCUCAGUGGGUUAAAGAUCCGGCGUUGCCGUGAGCUGUGGUGUAGGUCGCAGACGCGGCUCGGAUCCCGAGUUGCUAUUGUUAAAGUGGCUCAACCUAGUAAUUUUAAACAUUUAUACCUCUUUUCAAAAUAUACUAUAAAUCAAACAGUGCCAAGUAAUGAAAAACCUAAGCCACUGAUUAAAGGAAGGAAGAAGAGUUUUAAAACAACCAGUAAAGAUAGGGUUAGGAAGUAAAGAACCAGUCAUUUCAGAAAAUAGCCAGGGGUGAAGGGUAGGAGGCAGGGGAAGCCUCUUAUGGCUGAUUUUGGUUAGCUUUUCCUAAAGCAUUUACUUUGGGACAAACGACUUACAAUAUAAAACUGGUAGCCAAUAGGAAAAGAACAUGCAGAACUAAGUCCAUUCUCUUUCCAUUUAUUUGACUGUACAUCACUCUAUCUUUUAAGCCAAGCAAAUACAAAUUUAGAUAAUUUAAGUAUUUUUGCAAGUGAUGAGAAUACUCCAAAGUUUUAAAAUGUUUUCAUGAAAUUUAACAAGAGUAUCACUGAGACAAAACUUUUCCUUAGGCAUUUAAAUAGUUUACAAAUAUUUUUCAGCUCUUUCCAGAAAGAUAGUAGUUAAAGAACAUGAAGCAGUGACCAUUUCUAAACUUCACAGAGAUAAAAAUUUUACUUCCACCCCAAAUAAAAGCAUCAUAAUAACUGAAUAAUACAAAGAUACACUUGGUAAAGUGGAUAACUUCACAACACAACUAUUAAAAGAGUUAUUAAAGGCAGUGCAAGAAUGUAAGUCAAGGAAGACUACACACAAUUUCUAGAAAACAGAUGCCACAACCUACCAAGGAGCAUCCAUCAUGAUGAAGCAUGAAGAUAAAAAAAAAACUAAAAGCUAUCUUCCUUUUGUUCACAAGUUACUUAAACCUAAAACUGCUCUAAAAAAUAAAGUCUAUUAUUUUUUUUAAGUGAACGUGAUAGAAGUUCCUUCUACCUUAAACUACAGGAAGAUGCAAUGAGAACUGUGAACUGAACAAGUGAGUGUGGAGAGUGGAAAAGCAGUGGAUGAAUUCCAGAAGACCAGGCUCCUAGGAACCUGACGGACAGCUCAGGCCAGGGCUGAGAGCACACAGGAAGCAGGACAAGGUGGUAAGACUGGAACCUCAGCAUCCCAGGACAAGGUGCUAAGACUGGAACCUCAGCAUCCCAGCAACCUUUUCCAGACACUCAGUAAAGUUUUAUCUUCCUAAAACCAUUACCUGCUAUCAGUCCACUAUGUUUUAGUAGUAACAACACAAACCGGUUCUUCUUAGCACCAAUCAAGUACCUGAUGUUCUAUAUAUGAUCUUCUGUACUAAGAUAUUUAUAUACAUAAAAUAGAAAUUGAUAAAGGAUGACACUAAAAAUAGGUAUUAAUAGAAUUUUAAUAUGAUCUUCCUACACUGCAAUGAACAAACAUACCAUCUUGGAGAUUACUAUAAACUCUAGGAUAGAGUGUAAACUUUUUUUUUUUUAGGGCCACACAUGCAGCAUAUGUAGGGGUCAAACUGGAGCUGCAGCUGCCGGCCCAUGCCACAGCCACAGCAGCCUGAGAUGGGAGCCAGGUCUGUGAUCUCGCCACAGCUCACAGCAACCCCAGAUCCUUAGCCCACUGAGCAAGGCUAGGGAUUGAACCCACAUCCUCAUAGGUACUAGUCAGAUUUGUUUCUGCUGAGCAACAAUGGGAACUCUCGAGUUUCAACUUUUAAGAUCAGGCUUUUAUCCACCACUCAAAUCUCAUCUAUUCCAGUUAUCCUAUGGACACCACUUACUAAACUCUUUCUGUUCCUCCAUCACAGGCUAUGUUUACUGAUCUUAACAAUGCCACAGAGGCUGUGCUCCUCUAUUUGGAACAAGUUCUCUCUCUUCCUGCCUCAGGCUUCCUAUUAAAUAUAUUUUCAUCCUUCACAACACAGAGAGGCUGAUGGCACUGAGGUCUCUUAGAAUGACCUGCUGAAGGAAAGAAAGAGGAGCAAUUGUUUGCCUUCUUCCAUCUCACAUCUUAUAAAGUCUGCCACCCAGGGCAGCCCCUCCUUCACACUUCGGGCUGUGCUUCCCGGACCCUCUGCACAGCUUCUGAGAAAGUCACCUCUCCACUUAAGUGACACCCCAGCACUGGUGCUGCUGACACAUCCUAGGCUGAGUGAUGGAGGUGGGUGGGAGCCCGGUCCUUGUCUUCUCAGAGGAAUCUGAGAUAGAAGUGGUAAGAGAUACUGGCAGAGGCAGGGCACUCCAGGUAAGACCUCAGAUAACCCGGGGCAACCAUGAAGCACCAGAGAAAGCUGUUGAGACCUGGGCAGUGGGACCCAGAAGACCUAAAAGCCAACCUUCCCCUCAUGCCACUCAGUUGACUUGCAGAUCUCAUACAAAAAGGCAGCUGCCCUUAUGUUGUCUCCAGGAGAGGAGGCUCAAGUCCCGUUCUUCACGGUAGUUAAUUUGCAAUUGCCAAAGAGAGUCAGUAAACCAAACUACAGUUUGUACCAUUUGCAACCGGUCCUGUCAAGUUACAUUUAUCAUCUCCUCUUCCACCUCCCAUUUUAGAUGCCCUUCACCCUUGACCAGUGCUCUGGGUCAUCUGGGGUUCUGCUUAUGGAGGGACCCAGACAUUUAUUUUCAAGUUGGCUUGGGCCUCUAAGUGUCUUGCCUUUGUCAGGCCAUCGUUGCUUAAAUGGUCCAACUGCAGUUACCAGAAGGCAGGGAAAACACCGAAAGAUGACCCAGCGAAUCUCCUAAGCCAGACAUACUCCUCCCUAUACCCAACACAGUGGACCCUGCACAUAACCUAUGUAAUAGUAACCCUAACUUCUCCUGGCGUUCAAGGUUGCACAGUCUAGCUGGUACAUCCUUUAUGCCCACCAGUGCACUGUCAUAAGCCCAAAGUGAACAGCUGGUAUUCACAGCUUCUAGUCAACGGGAGUCUUACUGUGUCCUCUGGCUAAAACGUUCUUCAUUCCACCUUCCAGGAAUCAGGUCCUCUAAACGAGCAGAGGCUAAAAUUGCAGGGAUAGAAAGCAAGAAGUCUGAAACACUGAGACUGAUGGUAAAAGCCAAGUCCAACUUCCUCCCCUUCGUUUUCAGAUUCUUUUAAUCUGUUACCAAAUUAGCACUAUUGAUCAGCUAUUGAAUCAGCACCCCAACAGUGUAUCCAACCCCACCGAGGUUGCUUCCUUCAUUGCAUCUUUCCUCCAGACGCUUCCAGGUACUGGAGAACAUAGUAAGUAACAUAAACCCUGUGGUCAUGGGCUCAAGUAUAAUAUAAUCCCCUUAGUCCUACCAGGGAGCCAUGUUAUAUGUGGUACCAUACUGAUGUAUCAGUCACCCCAUCUGUGGACUGUACACUCUGAUGAUGAUAUUGGCAGGUUUCUGCAGGAAGGGGAAUAAAAAAACCUCGAUCUGGUGUACAUGUCUGAUAAGGACAAUGCUAUCUCUUCCAAGGUCAAAGGUUUCCAAGAUAACCCAUCUUUCACCAGAUACUAGCUGAUAGUGCCUUAUCAAGGGCUCUGUGUCUAUCUCUGGUGAUAAGCAAGUUAGACACUUGAGUACAAGGUUUGGAAAUGCAUUCUUUGGUGACCUGGUGAAGAGGAUGCCCCGAGGAGUCUGAGUGGGGGGUUCUCAAGUCUUACAAAGCAGAUCCUGUCUAAUCCCCCCCGGCCAAGACGUUUGACUCCUUUCUCAACAACACACCAAAGAAAUUUUGACAUUUCCGCAUGUCCUCGCCAGAUCACAGUUAAGUACCUAUGUGGUACUUUUCACACAAUAGCACCUUACAGUCCACAUUCUACCAUCUUUAAAUACCCUCAAGAUCUACUCCCACCAAUACUCAUACAAUCCCUGAGAGGACAUGCUCUCUUGCACUUAUUUUGGCAUACAGUACAUUUCUUCUUGGAGUAGGGCUCAAAAUCCCCCCCUCAGCCUGUACUGAGAUGCUAUUCAGGCCACUCAACCUGAAAGUAAGCAGGGGUAACAUAGGCAGAUCUUGAGGAGUUUAAGCACCAACUUACAAAGCACCGCCCAGACUCCAAAAGAAGGUAGGGCUAUUUCCCCUAACCAAGAAAUACAGGGCAAUUUGCGGGUUCAGUAUAGUCAAGCGCAUCCACCUAAACGUCUCCAGUGCCAGUCUCAGAGUGCUACUCAGGUCCACCAAAGUCCUGAACUUGACCUAAGUAACCUGUCAAAACUGCACACUUGGUCUACUUCGCAGCCCUGCCGCCCUUACAGUUACACCCUGGGCCUGGUUUCCAGUGUAGUAUUCACCUGGAUGCAGAAAUGAGUCUCUCUUAAAGCAAUGAGGAGGGUCCUCUAGCUUCCACACUAUGCCUGAAGUUGACUUUCAGCGGCCCCAGGUCUACACCUUUUCUUUCUCAAAGACUCCAAUGCUGCCAAAACAUUCAAGGCCUCACAGUGAUCCUCAUCCCUACACCAGACCACCUCGGCAGCCACACCUUUUGCCUUUCACACGCAGACCUCACACCAAAUGACCAGAGCUCAAAGCUGUGC
rnacentral:lncRNA from 1 species